GCGGGGAUUGCCGAGUGGUCAAAGGCGCAGGACUCAAGAUCCUGUGAGUUAGUCUCUUCGUGGGUUCGAAUCCCUCUCCCCGCA
rnacentral:tRNA from 1 species